GCCUGGCUGGCUCAGCGGUAGAGCGUGCAACUCUUGAUCUCAGGGUCGUGAGUUCGAGCCCACAUCGGGCG
rnacentral:tRNA from 1 species